rnacentral:rRNA from 1 species
UCGAGGGGUAGCAUGAUUGUAGCAAUACAAUUGAUGACGACCGGCAAACNGNUGCGGAACACGUACACAACCUUCCUACAAGUGGGGAAUAGCCCAGAGAAAUUUGGAUUAAUACCCCGUAACAUAGCGAUGUGGCAUCACAUUGCUAUUAUAGCUUCGGCGCUUGUUGAUGGGUGUGCGGCUGAUUAGAUAGUUGGCGGGGUAACGGCCCACCAAGUCUACGAUCAGUAGCUGAUGUGGGAGCAUGAUCAGCCACACGGGCACUGAGACACGGGCCCGACUCCUACGGGAGGCAGCAGUAAGGAAUAUUGGACAAUGGACGCAAGUCUGAUCCAGCCAUGCCGCGUGAAGGAUUAAGGUCCUCUGGAUUGUAAACUUCUUUUAUAAGGGACGAAAAAAGGUCUUUCUAGAUCGUCUGACGGUACCUUAUGAAUAAGCACCGGCUAACUCCGUGCCAGCAGCCGCGGUAAUACGGAGGGUGCAAGCGUUAUCCGGAUUCACUGGGUUUAAAGGGUGCGUAGGCGGGCAGGUAAGUCAGUGGUGAAAUCCUAGAGCUCAACUCUAGAACUGCCAUUGAUACUAUCUGUCUUGAAUAUUGUGGAGGUAAGCGGAAUAUGUCAUGUAGCGGUGAAAUGCUUAGAUAUGACAUAGAACACCUAUUGCGAAGGCAGCUUACUACGCAUAUAUUGACGCUGAGGCACGAAAGCGUGGGGAUCAAACAGGAUUAGAUACCCUGGUAGUCCACGCCCUAAACGAUGGAUACUCGACAUACGCGAUACACUGUGUGUGUCUGANCGAAAGCAUUAAGUAUCCCACCUGGGAAGUACGUCCGCAAGGAUGAAACUCAAAGGAA